AACAUAAUUAAAGUCUAUGUUACGGCCAUAGAAUUGAUGAACUCUUCAUCUUAUGUUU
rnacentral:tRNA from 1 species